UACGUAGGGGGCAAGCGUUGUCCGGAUUUAUUGGGCGUAAAGAGCGUGUAGGCGGCCACACAGGUCUGCUGUGAAAACUCGAGGCUCAACCUCGAGCUGUCGGUGGAAACCGUGUGGCUAGAGUCCGGAAGAGGAGAGUGGAAUUCCCGGUGUAGCGGUGAAAUGCGCAGAUAUCGGGAAGAACACCCGUGGCGAAGGCGGCUCUCGUGGGACGGUACUGACGCUGAGACGCGAAAGCGGUGGGGAGCGAACAGG
rnacentral:rRNA from 1 species